rnacentral:rRNA from 1 species
AAAAUACGGGAGGCAGCAGUAGGGAAUAUUGCUCAAUGGGGGAAACCCUGAAGCAGCAACGCCGCGUGGAGGAUGACACUUUUCGGAGCGUAAACUCCUUUUCUUGGGAAAGAAUUAUGACGGUACCCAAGGAAUAAGCACCGGCUAACUCCGUGCCAGCAGCCGCGGUAAUUUUU